rnacentral:rRNA from 1 species
AUUGAACGCUGGCGGCAGGCCUAACACAUGCAAGUCGAACGAGUGGCGUACGGGUGAGUAAUGUCUGUGAACCUGCCUGGUGGAGGGGGAUACGUACUGGAAGCGGUAGCUAAUACCGCAUACCAUCAGAUGUGCCCAGAUUGGAUUAGCUUGGUGGAGGGGUAACGGCUCACCAAGGCGACGAUCCCUAGCGGGUCUGAGAGGAUGACCAGCCACACUGGAACUGAGACACGGUCCAGACUCCUACGGGAGGCAGCAGUGGGGAAUAUUGGACAAUGGGGGCAAGCCUGAUGCAGCCAUGCCGCGUGUAUGAAGAAGGCCUUCGGGUUGUAAAGCACUUUUAGCGGGGAGGCGUUACCCGCAGAAGAAGCACCGGCUAACUACGUGCCAGCAGCCGCGGUAAUUC